UCCUGGGUGGUCCAGUGGCUAAGACUCUGUGCUCCCAAUGCAGGGGGCCCAGGCUCGAUUCCUGGUCAGGGAA
rfam:Ovis aries breed Texel chromosome 13, whole genome shotgun sequence.